AGGUUAGGAAACGACUGCUUAAAUACCGCAUAAUGUAGCGAGACCGCAUGAUCUUGCUAACCAAAGUCUUUAUGUGCUGAAAAGAUGGCCUCGCGUCUGAUUAGAUAGUUGGUGAGGUAACGGCUCACCAAGUCGACGAUCAGUAGCCGGUCUGAGAGGAUGAACGGCCACAUUGGGACUGAGAUACGGCCCAGACUCCUACGGGAGGCAGCAGUGGGGAAUAUUGGGCAAUGGGGGAAACCCUGACCCAGCAACGCCGCGUGAAGGAAGAAGGCCUUCGGGUUGUAAACUUCUUUUACCAGGGACGAAUACGUGACGGUACCUGGAGAAAAAGCAACGGCUAACUACGUG
rnacentral:rRNA from 1 species